rnacentral:rRNA from 1 species
CAGCCGCCGCGGUAACACGUAGGGUGCAAGCGUUAAUCGGAAUUACUGGGCGUAAAGCGUGCGUAGGCGGUGAGUUAAGUCUGCUGUGAAAUCCCCGGGCUCAACCUGGGAAUGGCAGUGGAUACUGGCUCGCUAGAGUGUGUCAGAGGAUGGUGGAAUUCCCGGUGUAGCGGUGAAAUGCGUAGAGAUCGGGAGGAACAUCAGUGGCGAAGGCGGCCAUCUGGGACAACACUGACGCUGAGGCACGAAAGCGUGGGGAGCAAACAGGAUUAGAUACCCCAGUAGUCCCUGUCUCUUAACA